UACAGAGGGUGCAAGCGUUGUUCGGAAUUACUGGGCGUAAAGGGCGCGUAGGCGGGAUGGCAAGUCGGUCGUGAAAUCCUUCGGCUCAACCGAAGAACGUCGAUCGAUACUGCUGUUCUUGAGGGUUGCAGAGGAGACUGGAAUUCCCGGUGUAGCGGUGAAAUGUGUAGAGAUCGGGAGGAACACCGGUGGCGAAGGCGGGUCUCUGGGCAAUUCCUGACGCUGAGGCGCGAAAGCGUGGGGAGCAAACGGG
rnacentral:rRNA from 1 species